rnacentral:piRNA from 1 species
AGGACAAACACGCCAGGUGGUGUCAG